rnacentral:rRNA from 1 species
GACGAACAGCUGGUUGCGUGCCUAAUACAUGCUCGUCAAACCAAAGCGACCGGUGCUUGCGCUGGCCAAUCGAGUGCCAAACGGCUGACUAACACGUGGGUAACCUGCCCAGCAUACGGGGAUAACAUUCCGACACGGAGGCCCAAACCGCCUAAGUUCUACAGUCGCCUGACUGAAAAAGGAAAAGAGGCUUCUGCUUCUGCUGAUGGAUGGACCCGCGGAGCAUUAGCUAGUUGGCGAGGUAACCGCUCACCAAGGCCGUGAUGCAUAACCGACCUGACAGGGUGAUCGGCCACUUUGGCGCACUGACACACGGCCCAAACUCCUACAGGAGGCAGCACUAGGGAAUCUUCCGCAAUGGACGCAAGUCUGACGGCAGCAACGCCGCGUGAGUGAAGAAAGAUUUCGGAUCGUAAAACUCUGUUGUUAUAGAAUAACAUCGCAUACAGUGAACUGUUAUGCGGGUGACGGCAUCUAACCUUAAAGCCACGGCUAACUACGUGCCAGCACUCCCGGUAAUACGUACGUGGCGAGCGUUGUCCGGAUUUAUUGGGCGUAAGCGAGCGCAGGCGGUCUAUUAAGUCUGAUGUGAAAGCCCCCGGCUCUUCGGGGAGGGUCAUUGGAAACUGGUUGACUUGAGUGCAGAAGAGGAGAGUGGAAUUCCAUGUGUAGCGGUGAAAUGCGUAGAUAUAUGGAGGAACACCAGUGGCGAAGGCGACUCUCUGGUCUGUAACUGACGCUGAGGCUCGAAAGCGUGGGUAGCAAACAGGAUUAGAUACCCUGAUAGUCCACGCCGUAAACGAUGAGUGCUAAGUGUUGGAGGGUUUCCACCCUUCAGUGCUGCAGUUAAUGCAUUAAGCACUCCCCCUGGGGAGUACGACCGCAAGGUUGAAACUCAAAGGAAUUGACGGACACCCGCACAAGCGGUGGAGACAUGUGUUUUAAUUAGAAGCAGACGCAAAGAACCUUACCAAGUUUUGACAUCCUUUGACCACUCUAGAGAUAGAGCUUUCCCUUCGGGGACAAAGUGACAGGUGGUGCAUGGUUGUCGUCAGCUCGUGUCGUGAGAUGUUGGGUUAAGUCCCGCAACGAGCGCAACCCUUAUUACUAUCUGCCAGCAUUGAGUUGGGCACUCUAGUGAGACUUCCGGUGACAAACCGGAGGAAGGUGGGGAUGACGUCAAAUCAUCAUGCCCAUUAUGACUUGGGCUACACACGUGCUACAAUGGAUGGUACAACGAGCAGUGAACUCGCGAGGGUAAGCGAAUCUCUUAAAGCCAUUCUCAGUUCGGAUUGUAGGUUGCAAUUUGCGUACAAGAAGCCGGAAUAGCUAGUAUUGGCGGAUCAGCAUGAGGCGGUGAAUAAGUUUUCGGCUUU